CUCAAGCUUUAUUGAGUUUGGUAAGAACUAAGAGAACAUUAUGGCUAAGGACAUUGAGGUUGGUGGUGGUGAGUUCCAGGCAAAGGACUACCAUGAUCCUCUACCGGCUCCAUUGGUCAAUGCCCAGGAGUUAACAAAGUGGUCAUUUUAUAGAGCUGUAAUAGCCGAGUUUAUUGCCACUCUCCUGUUCUUGUACAUCACAUAUUGACAGUCAUCGGCUACAAGACACAGACCGACCCUGCUAAGGGCGGUGAAGAUUGUGGCGGCGUUGGCAUUCUCGGCAUCACUUGGGCUUUUGGUGGCAUGAUCUUUAUCCUUGUUUACUGCACUGCCGGUUAUCUCGGGGGGACACAUCAACCCAGCAGUGACUUUUGAACUUUUCUUGGCGAGGAAGGUAUCGUUGGUUCGAGUCAUAUUACAUGGCUGCUCAAUGUUUAGGAGCCCAUAUGUGGAUGUGGGCUAGUUAAGGCAUUCCAAAAGACAUACUACAACCAUAUGCAGGAGGAGCCAACAGCUUCGCCGAUGGAUACAGCACCGGAAACGUUUGGGCGCCUAAAUUAUCGACACCUUUGUUCUCGUCUACACUGUUUUCUCUGCAACUGAUCCCAAGAGGAAUGCAAGAGACUCCCAUAUCCCUGUCUUGGCACCACUUCCCAUUGGGUUUGCCGUGUCAUGGUUCACUUGGCCACAAUUUCGAUUACCGUCACCGGUAUCAACCCUGCCCGUAGUUUUAGAGCUGCUGUUAUCUUCAACCAGGAAAAGAUAUGGAUGACCAUUGGAUUUUCUGGGUUGGACCUUUCAUUGGAGCUGCCAUUGCUGCAAUCUAUCACCAGUUUAUCCUAAGGGCAUCUGCUGCUAAAGCUAUGGGAUCCUUCAGGAGCAGGUCUGCCAU